rnacentral:rRNA from 1 species
AUUGAACGCUGGCUGCAGGCCUAACACAUGCAAGUCGAACGCGUGGCGGACGGGUGAGUAAUGUCUGGGAACCUGCCCGAUGGAGGGGGAUAACUACUGGAAACGGUAGCUAAUACCGCAUACCCUCGGAUGUGCCCAGAUGGGAUUAGCUAGUAGGUGGGGUAAAGGAUCACCUAGGCGACGAUCCCUAGAUGGUCUGAGAGGAUGACCAGCCACACGGGAACGGAGACACGGUCCAGACUCCUACGGGAGGCAGCAGUGGGGAAUAGUGCACAAUGGGCGCAAGCCUGAUGCAGCCAUGCCGCGUGUAUGAAGAAGGCCUGCGGGUUGUAAAGUACGUUCAGCGGGGAGGCGUUACCCGCAGAAGAAGCACCGGCUAACUCCGUGCCAGCCGCCGCGGUAAUUC